rnacentral:ncRNA from 1 species
UAUCUGGUUGAUCCUGCCAGUAGUCAUAUGCUUGUCUCAAAGAUUAAGCCAUGCAUGUCUAAGUACAAACCUUAAUACGGUGAAACGCGAAUGGCUCAUUAAAUCAGCUAUGGUUCCUUAGAUCGUCUCAUCCUACUCGGAUAACUGUGGAAAAUCUAGAGCUAAUACGUGCUUACAAGCCCUGACCUCACGGGAGGGCGCAUUUAUUAGAUCAAAACCAAUCGGGGCUUGCCCCGUCUGCUUGGUGACUCUGGAUAACUUUUGUGCUGAUCGCAUGGCCUCUGCGCUGGCGACGUAUCUUUCAAGUGUCUGCCCUAUCAACUUACGAUGGUAGGUGAUAUGCCUACCAUGGUUAUAACGGGUAACGGGGAAUCAGGGUUCGAUUCCGGAGAGGGAGCCUGAGAAACGGCUACCACAUCUAAGGAAGGCAGCAGGCGCGCAAAUUACCCACUCCCGGCACGGGGGAGGUAGUGACGAAAAAUAACGAUACGGGACUCUUUUGAGGCCCCGUAAUUGGAAUGAGUACACUUUAAAUCCGUUAACAAGUAUCUAUUGGAGGGCAAGUCUGGUGCCAGCAGCCGCCGCGGUAAUUCCAGCUCCAAUAGCGUAUAUUAAUGUUGCUGCAGUUAAAAAGCUCGUAGUUGGAUCUGAGGACUCGAAUUUGGUGGUGCACCAUACGGUGUUACUGCCGAUUCGG